CAAACUUGGUCAUUUAGAGGAAGUAAAAGUCGUAACAAGGUCUCCGUUGGUGAACCAGCGGAGGGAUCAUUACCGAGUUUACAAACUCCCAAACCCUUUGUGAACCUUACCUAUCGUUGCUUCGGCGGGAUCGCCCCGGCGCCUUCGGGCCCGGAACCAGGCGCCCGCCGGAGGCCCCAAACUCUUAUGUCUUUAGUGGUUUUCUCCUCUGAGUGACACAUAAACAAAUAAAUAAAAACUUUCAACAACGGAUCUCUUGGUUCUGGCAUCGAUGAAGAACGCAGCGAAAUGCGAUAAGUAAUGUGAAUUGCAGAAUUCAGUGAAUCAUCGAAUCUUUGAACGCACAUUGCGCCCGCCAGUAUUCUGGCGGGCAUGCCUGUUCGAGCGUCAUUUCAACCCUCAGGCCCCCAGUGCCUGGCGUUGGGGAUCGGCGUGGGCGGCGACGGCUCUCCGGAGCCCGAGCCAAUGCCUGCCGGCCCCGAAAUUCAGUGGCGGUCUCGCUGUAGUCCCCCUCUGCGUAGUAGCACAACUCGCAUUGGAGCUCGGCGGUGGCCAUGCCGUAAAACACCCCACUUCUGAAAGUGACCUCAGAUG
rnacentral:rRNA from 1 species